rnacentral:lncRNA from 11 species
CAGACCUUCUCUGGAUUACCAGUGAAGAUGAGAAGGUUAUGGACUGGGAAGUGGACAUUCUACUGGAGGUGCUGUAUACAUCUGACUGCUCCUGAAGGCGAAAUGACAGGAACUCACUGUGGUAGUACAGCAUCAUUCAUUUGCAAGAAAAGAGAAGAGGCAUUGUAGGUUGGAAAGGACACUUUGUACUGGAGUUCAAAAGAUGACAAAUGACUACAAAACGUUUCUUGCAAGGCGAUUGGUACUUAUUAGUGGAUCCUCUGCAAAUUUAU